GACAGAGGGUGCAAACGUUGCUCGGAAUUACUGGGCGUAAAGCGCGUGUAGGCGGUUCCGCCAGUCUGGUGUGAAAGCCCGGGGCUCACCCGGAACGACGCAUUGGAUACUACGGAGCUUGAGUCCUGAAGAGGAGAGCGGAAUUCCCGGUGUAGAGGUGAAAUUCGUAGAUAUCGGGAGGAACACCAGUGGCGAAGGCGGCUCUCUGGGACGGUACUGACGCUGAGGAACGAAAGCGUGGGGAGCGAACAGG
rnacentral:rRNA from 1 species